AUUGAACGCUGGCGGCAGGCUUAACACAUGCAAGUCGAGCGAGCGGCGGACGGGUGAGUAAUGUUUGGGAAACUGUCUGAUGGAGGGGGAUAACUACUGGAAACGGUAGCUAAUACCGCAUACCAUCAGAUGCGCCCAGAUGGGAUUAGCUAGUAGGUGGGGUAAUGGCUCACCUAGGCGACGAUCCCUAGCUGGUCUGAGAGGAUGACCAGCAACACGGGAACUGAGAAACGGUCCAGAAUCCUAAGGGAGGCAGCAGGGGGGAAUAUGGCACAAUGGGCGCAAGCCUGAUGCAGCCAUGCCGCGUGUGUGAAGAAGGCCUUCGGGUUGUAAAGCACUUUCUGCGGUGAGGCGUUAGUCGCAGAAGAAGCACCGGCUAACUCCGUGCCAGCAGCCGCGGUAAUUC
rnacentral:rRNA from 1 species